CAGGUGUGGGGCGCUGCCUGAGGCAGGGAGAGGAAGAGGGAGAUGCAGACAGGAUGGAGACGGCAGGAGAGGCCGGGGAAGAGGGAAGGGCCUGGGUCACAGGGACCCCGGGGGCAAGCCCUUCCCUGAGGCAGUACGUGCUCACCAGCAGCAGCCCCAGGCUUACACCCUGUCUCAGCAGAGAGCCUCUUCCCCUCAAAGUGCCAGCAGAAGUCUCAGGGCUGAUGCUCACUGGGCAGGACUGGCUCCCCUGCCUGUACCUGGGAUGACAAUGACCCCUCCAGCAACUGGUCACAUGCCAGGGACUGCUCUCGACACUUCCUAUGUAUAAACCCAUUCAGUCCCCCAAAAUGCCAGGACUACUCUCACCGCCACUUCGCAGACACGGAGACGGAGGCACAGAAAGCUCUAUAACGUGUCCAUGGCUCAGGCCUGGAAACACCACUGAGCCUUGGUUCCAAGUCAACCAUCACCCACUGGCACCUGCAAGCACCACCUGGCACAGACUCAAGAAACAACAGUGGCAGCAUCUGCCCCAUAAGAUGUAUGACUCACUUCUGUUUUUUAAAUACACUGAUCAUUAAACUGAGA